rnacentral:rRNA from 1 species
AUUGAACGCUGGCGGCAUGCUUUACACAUGCAAGUCGAACGGUAACAGGCCUUCGGGUGCUGGCGAGUGGCGAACGGGUGAGUAAUGCAUCGGAACGUACCCAGAGGUGGGGGAUAACGCAGCGAAAGCUGUGCUAAUACCGCAUGUGAUCUGAGGAUGAAAGCGGGGGACCGAGCAGCAAUGUUUGGCCUCGCGCCUUUGGAGCGGCCGAUGUCGGAUUAGCUAGUUGGUGGGGUAAAGGCCUACCAAGGCGACGAUCCGUAGCUGGUCUGAGAGGACGACCAGCCACACUGGGACUGAGACACGGCCCAGACUCCUACGGGAGGCAGCAGUGGGGAAUUUUGGACAAUGGGCGCAAGCCCGAUCCAGCAAUGCCGCGUGCGGGAAGAAGGCCUUCGGGUUGUAAACCGCUUUUGGCAGGAACGAAACGGUGUCCGCUAAUACCGGGCGCUAAUGACGGUACCUGCAGAAUAAGCACCGGCUAACUACGUG